GCCUAUUUUUUGAUGGUUUCCUAGGAGUGAAGAGCGUCAGACUCUUAAUCUGAAUGUCGCGGGUUCGAACCCCGCGCAGGGUU